GAUGAACGCUGGCGGCGUGCCUAAUACAUGCAAGUCGAGCGAACAGACGAGGAGCUUGCUCCUCUGACGUUAGCGGCGGACGGGCGAGUAACACGUGGAUAACCUACCUAUAAGACUGGGAUAACUUCGGGAAACCGGAGCUAAUACCGGAUAAUAUAUUGAACCGCAUGGUUCAAUAGUGAAAGACGGUUUUGCUGUCACUUAUAGAUGGAUCCGUGCCGCAUUAGCUAGUUGGUAAGGUAACGGCUUACCAAGGCAACGAUGCGUAGCCGACCUGAGAGGGUGAUCGGCCACACUGGAACUGAGACACGGUCCAGACUCCUAGGGAGGCAGCAGUAGGGAAUCUUCCGCAAUGGGCGAAAGCCUGACGGAGCAACGCCGCGUGAGUGAUGAAGGUCUUCGGAUCGUAAAACUCUGUUAUUAGGGAAGAACAAAUGUGUAAGUAACUAUGCACGUCUUGACGGUACCUAAUCAGAAAGCCACGGCUAACUACGUG
rnacentral:rRNA from 1 species